rnacentral:rRNA from 1 species
GUCAACCUACCCUAUGGACGAGAAUAAUCUCGGGAAACUGAGCAUAAUUCUUGAUAGAUCAUAAUGCCUGGAAUGGUUUAUGGUUAAAAUGAUUCGUCGCCAUAGGAUGGGACUGCGGCCUAUCAGCUUGUUGGUGAGGUAAUGGCCCACCAAGGCGAUUACAGGUACGGGCUCUGAGAGGAGAAGCCCGGAGAUGGGUACUAAGACACGGACCCAGGCCCUAUGGGGCGCAGCAGGCGAGAAAACUUUGCAAUGUGCGAAAGCACGACAAGGUUAAUCCGAGUGAUUUCUGCUAAAGAAAUCUUUUGCCAGUCGUAAAACCGCUGGUGAAUAAGGGGUGGGCAAGUUCUGGUGUCAGCCGCCGCGGUAAAACCGCACCUCAAGUGGUCAGGAUGAUUAUUGGGCCUAAAGCAUCCGUAGCCGGCUUUGUAAGUUUUCGGUUAAAUCCAUGUGCUCAACGCAUGGGCUGCCGAAAAUACUGCAUAGCUAGGGAGUGGGAAGGUAACGGUACU